CCUACGGGUGGCAGCAGUGAGGAAUAUUGGACAAUGGGCGUAAGCCUGAACCAGCGACGCCGCGUGAGGGAUGAAGGUUCUAUGGAUCGUAAACCUCUUUUAUAAGGGAAUAAAGUGUGGUACGUGUCCUAUUUUGUAUGUACCUUAUCAAUAAGGAUCGGCUAACUCCGUGCCAGCAGCCGCGGUAAUACGGAGGGUCCGAGCGUUAUCCGGAUUUACUGGGUUUAAAGGGAGCGUAGAUGGGUUGUUAAGUCAGUUGUGAAAGUUUGCGGCUCAACCGUAAAAUUGCAAUUGAUACUGGCAGUCUUGAGUGCAGGUGAGGUAGGCGGAAUUCGUGGUGUAGCGGUGAAAUGCGUAGAUAUCACGAAGAACCCCGAUGGCGAAGGCAGCUUACUAAACUGUGACUGACAUUGAUGCUCGAAAGUGUGGGUAUCAAACAGGAUUAGAUACCCUAGUAGUC
rnacentral:rRNA from 1 species